rnacentral:rRNA from 1 species
GAGUCUAGCAUGUGCGCGAGUCAUUAGGACUUGUAACUAAACCUAAAGGCGAAAUGAAAGUAAAGGGUCGCCUUGUGCGGCCCGAGGGCAGAUGUAUAAUAGUAAGCUAUUGUACCGCAUGCCCGGGGCGUCCCGUUCUCAUUGCGAGAUGGGGCGCACCUAGAGCGUACACGCUGGGACCCGAAAGAUGGUGAACUAUGCCUGGUCAGGACGAAGUCAGGGGAAACCCUGAUGGAGGUCCGUAGCGAUUCUGACGUGCAAAUCGAUCGUCAGAACUGGGUAUAGGGGCGAAAGACUAAUCGAACCAUCUAGUAGCUGGUUCCCUCCGAAGUUUCCCUCAGGAUAGCUGGCGCUCGUUGUGUGCGAGUCUCAUCCGGUAAAGCGAAUGAUUAGAGGCAUUGGGGUCGAAACGGCCUCAACCUAUUCUCAAACUUUAAAUGGGUGAGAUCUCCGGCUUUUUUGAACUGUAAAGCCGUGAGAUUUCGGAUCAGAGUGCCAAGUGGGCCACUUUUGGUAAGCAGAACUGGCGCUGUGGGAUGAACCAAACGCCGAGUUAAAGCGCCUAAAUCGAUGCUUAUGGGAUACCAUGAAAGGCGUUGGUAACUUAAGACAGCAGGACGGUGGCCAUGGAAGUCGGA